rnacentral:misc_RNA from 1 species
UCGUAACAAGGUUUCCGUAGGUGAACCUGCGGAAGGAUCAUUACCGAGUGAGGGCCCUCUGGGUCCAACCUCCCACCCGUGUUUAUUUACCUUAUUGCUUCGGCGGGCCCGCCUUCACUGGCCGCCGGGGGGCUCACGCCCCCGGGCCCGCGCCCGCCGAAGACACCCCGAACUCUGUCUGAAGAAUGAAGUCUGAGUGAAAAUAUAAAUUAUUUAAAACUUUCAACAACGGAUCUCUUGGUUCCGGCAUCGAUGAAGAACGCAGCGAAAUGCGAUACGUAAUGUGAAUUGCAAAUUCAGUGAAUCAUCGAGUCUUUGAACGCACAUUGCGCCCCCUGGUAUUCCGGGGGGCAUGCCUGUCCGAGCGUCAUUGCUGCCCUCAAGCCCGGCUUGUGUGUUGGGCCUCGUCCUCCGAUUCCGGGGGACGGGCCCGAAAGGCAGCGGCGGCACCGCGUCCGGUCCUCGAGCGUAUGGGGCUCUGUCACCCGCUCUGUAGGCCCGGCCGGCGCUUGCCGAUCAACCCAAAUUUUUAUCCAGGUUGACCUCGGAUCAGGUAGGGAUACCCGCUGAACUUAAGCAUAUCAAUAA